UUUGUCAGCCUCUCUUCACAGGAGAGGCGCUCCAGCCCUCUGAGCAUCAUCUGGAUUCACUCCAAUAGCUCCAUGUCCUUCCUGAGCUGCCCUAUUCAUGUUCUGUCCUCUGCAGCUUCUCCUGUGGAGCUGGAACAUCACAGAAAGGUGCUUGUGAGCCAAUAACUGCUGCCAGGAGCUCCUUCCCAGUGCUGCCAGUGCUUCUACACCCUGGUCAUGACAUGGUUAUUGCCACAGUACAUGGACAUCAGGUUCAUUGCAGUCUGAGCUCUGGAGGGAGCUGGGAGGAGAUCCAUAACACAUCCAUCUGCCUCCACAACAUUUCAGAGAGGAAGAAUUGUCCCUGGCACACAGCAAAGCCUUGCUAUGCAAUCAACUUAAGCCUUGAAGCAUGAAAUUUGAUUUUCUUUACCAUAGGUGUCUCCUCAGAGCAGAGUGCACAGGAUUCAGGAAUCCCUUUCACGUUGGAUGAGGAUUCCAGGUGGACUUGUUGGGUCUUUCUACAGCAGGAAACACAAGCCCCUCAAAUUCUGCACUCUCCUUUGGUGGAGCCACAGUUUCUGAACUGGGAAAAGGAGACACGACCAGGUCCUUGCAGGGAGGGAGAAGAGGCAUGAAGGGUGAGCUCAAGGGUCCUGCAGUGGGUCUGAGGCUUUGCAAAUCCCCAAAGAGCCAGGCAAGCCUUGAGCCCCCCACAGCCCCCUGCAGCCACUUGUCCCAAGGUGUCCUUUGCAGAGCAUGGCCUGCCCUUCCUGUGCUGUGCUGGACAGUGAUCACUGGGGGCACUGUGCAAAGACAGGUCAUAGAGGAAGGGUAAAACCCCCACUUUUUAACAGGUUUGUGUUGAUUCUGGCUUUUCUAGGAGUUUUUUCACAGCAGCAACACCAAACCUCCACAGGAACGCAGUUAAAAUCACAACAAACUGCAUAAGGGCAGAGCAGAAUGGAAGGAAACACUUAAACCAGUUUUUCUGCCAAAGAAAAUGUCCAUGUGAUGACAUCCUCUUGAUAUAGAAUCAAUCCGUGAGAUUGCCAUGGAGAAGGCUGGGGAAGAUGUUUGGGCCCUUAUUAAAGCUGCAUGGGCAUAAAUAGAUAUGCAAGAUUUCAGCUUGAGGUCUGUGUUUCAUCCCAGUAUUACCUGACUGGGGAAGGAAUGUCAUGAGAAGCAGACUGCAUAAAAACCCUACUAAUCAGAUAAUCCUUGAACAUGGUGCUGCUCCAGACCUAUUUGUAUGGCUGUAGACAUCUAUUCUAUUCUAUGAAUGAAUGCACACUCCUACCUAAACCUGCAAACAGACAUUCAAACAUAUGUAUAUAUUACAGAUCUAAUUCCUCCCAGUGUAUGCUAAUCCUGGUUUGGUGCCCUUAGCAAAACUUUGAUUUAUUGUGCUUUAAAUACUCUGGGUGACAUUCAUCCCCAGAUGGAGUUCUGCUGUAGUUGAGACAAAUAUAUGUUUUGUCUGUAGGACACCUGCUAUUACACUUUCUUAAUGUGGAGAAUGUUCAUGUUUCAGGCAAAUACCUUUCACUGUUUGGUAAGCAUGUAGCUCUCCAAAAUUCUUGUCAGGUUACUUUGCUGUUUCUGACAGCCUGGAGCAGAGGUUUGGUGUAUGUUUAAUGUGUAUUUACCCUGACCUGGAGAAUUUGCAGUUCUUUUAAAACAUCUUGUAUUCACCUUUUUCUUUUUCUCAGCUUUAUGUCAGUAGAAGGAGUAAUAGCCAACCUGGCUUCCAAAGUUUCUCUCCUAAUUUCUGCAUUUUGGUGGAGUCUCAGCUGUUACAGCUGAGUGCAAAAGUCUUGUAAGGCUCCUUGGGUACAUUAGAACAAGCUGAGCAGCACCGGUGGAAGUACUAAGAUAGUUCACCUCCAGUGUAUUUGCAGGGCUGAUGCCUUGAAAAAACCCUGGGCAUGGAUAAUUAAAUCUGUUGCUGCUGUCAGGUUGGUAGGAAUGCAUUUCUGUUUCAAAAGCCUUUCACCAGUUGCACCUGUAAUCACAGAGGAAUCUCUCAGGCAUGCAGGGAACGGAGAGCUGCACCCAGAAAGAUGCUCUGUCUGACCCCAUUUCCCCCCAGUCCCUCUGCUGACAAAGCCUUCUCACACUUGUGGGAAAUGGUAACGUGUAGGGGGAUUCCCUGGCUCCUGUCCCUCCUGACAUUUUCAAUGUAUUUCCCAGGCCUGUUUUUCCAUCCUGCGGUGUAAAAUUAAUUUUGAUGAAAUCUUGAGUGAAUUAAACUGCAACACAACGAUCUCCUUUCUCAACUCAUAUCUGCUGUCUGCCUUGUUUAUGUGUAGAAGAAGCACUUGGACAUACCAAUGAUCCUGUCAUUUAUUUUCCUUGUGCAUCGUGCCUUUGGCUACUAGAAUUAAACUGGAAAAUACAAUUAAAAGCAUUAGCUGUAGCAGACAUACAGAAAAAUAUCAUUACAUGCUUGACAGUGUUCUCCUUCAUAGUGUUAAUCCCUGCAGAUCUACCUGUGCUAUUAGAGUUCAUAUACAGAUUUUAUUUUUCUCUGAAGACUACAUUAAUUGGAAUGAACAUUCUUGUUUGUAUAAGGGAAGAAAAGGAAGAUGUCACCAUGCUGGAAAGCCUCACCUGAGUUUUCUUGGCUGAGACUGUGCCUCCAGGGCAUUGCUGUGACUGUGAAAUAACAAGGGGCAUCUUCCCCCCCUUGACUGCCCACACAGACCACCAGAACCAGGAUUUGCAAUGACUGUCUUAUGAUGGGAAGUGUUGGGGUUUGAGAUUCUGCUUCAGAAAUGAAUAGUUGUUGUAAUCAGGAGAAAAGCUUUGUAUCCUAUAAAAGGCACAGGAGACUGCUGGACAAAAUGGGAAACCCCCCCCACAUUAGGAUAUUUCAAAAGCAAUGCUGCUAUGACCAAUAAAUGAGAGAGCAAGGGCAGAAAAUGGAUUGCAGGUCAGAAAAAAAAGAAUGUGAAAGGAAGACAAACAUUAAUAAAAAAGGAACCUGGACUUUUGCUGGUUAAACCAAAUUUCAAACAUGCACAUAACCUGCAGACACAUAAAAAUGUGUUUAUACAUCAGAAUGGAGAAUGUGAGUUCUGCUGUUUAUCUUGAAGAACAACAGCAGCAGUGCAGGUUUGUCCACUCUUCAGCACCAGCACAUGUGGUCACCAUUAACCAUUUGGCAGAAAUGAAGUACAAGGAGGUGACCCUCACAGCCCACGGACACACAGAAGUCUCCUGCCUUGAAAACAAUCAAAAAUCAGACUGGAAAUGCUCAGAAAUACAAAACCAGUGGUCCUGGGAAAAAUAAAAUAAAUCGCAGGUAUAUUUCACUUUAUUUAUUUGUUCUUCAUUUUGAUAGCACAUCUCAAAUUACACUUGGUAAUGAGAUCUUACAAAUCUUUCCCCUGCUCUGGGACAGAAAGCAAAAACCACUCAUGCAUAAGGUAUUGAAUGCAUUCACAUCAAAUAUCUUGUAUGUUGGGCUUUUGAACAUCAUAAAUAUGAGAACAUUAAAUCAGCUGGUAUUGGAAUUUUUUAACAAUAUCAUUGUUACAGAUCAUAGCAGCUUAAAAGGUUUAACUCAAGUUUACUUGCUUCCAAUAUUUUUAUUUUUAAAAGUUUCUAGUAAAGUUUGGUAAGAGAUUAAAAAUAUAGAGGCCCAAAUACUACAAAAUAAUGUUUUAAAGAUUAAGUAUUUCUAUUUAGUUUGUAAGUGUUAAAACUCACAAUGGCCUUUCUGCUUUGACUGGGAAUGCAAAUACUUAGAUGAAGGUUAUGAAAUUCAACUUAUUUGUGAUUCUUAAGCAUCAUGAAACCUCUUGAAAGAGGUCUAGGCUUCCAGAAAUGUUGAAUACCCAUCCUUUAAGAGGUCCUCAGCUAGGGACACAAAAUCUCCAUCUAUUCCUGCAAAUAUUAGCCAAAAUACUGGGGACUCACUAAUAGAGUUCUCAGGAAAGUUAGUUCUAUGAAACUAGUUAAUUCUGUAGUUCUGUGAAAGCAGGAUAAGAAUGAAUGUAGAUUCUGUUGUGCAAGAUGAUUUUGCUUUUUUUUUUUUUUUAAGCUGUCAUCUGAAUGCUUUGAUAGCCAUCAGGAACAAGAUAUUUUGCAAUAGAGGGAUAGAGUCUAAUUGUAGAAGGGGAAGAAAAGCUACCUACAAAAGCCAAGAUCAUGAUAAGAAAACAAAUUUAUUGAACACCUUCUCUGAAAAGACCCAUGCACGGGUGAAAUAUUGCUACAAACACUUGCUCUGAUCCUACAUCAUGCCUUAAACUGCUUUGUGAAAUAACCAAGGGAUGAAGGUGCACGAUGAACCCAAGGAAACACCUGGGCAUGUAUGAAAACACAGGAACAAAUCCAGGUGCUGUACCACGGAUUAAUCUUAAUCCCUUGCUACCGGGCAUCUGCUUUCUGUAACCCUGAGUCAGUUCCUAGAAGCUUCUAGCAACACAGCUGGAAACAACCCUAAACUUUCAAUUUGGGACAUGGAAACUGCAUGCGAAGGAGACCAAAGCACAGGAGGAGGAAAGCUGGGUUGGGAUUAACUCAGUUCAAGGGUUACACCGAAUUUGAUCAGUGCCUUGUGCGGCUGUGCACUAAAGGUCUUUUUAGAGCUGGAACUCAGACCUCUUUUUUUUGCAUGUUGUAGGAUGCCUCAGGUAUCUCUGCAGCUGUCAGGUAUUAAACCACAUGGCUGCAAGAUCAAAGCAGGCCAGAUGCUUUGACAGAAGUAGUUAACAGUGUGCAUCACAUCCUCGUGGUGCUGAGGUCUCGGCCAUCGCACCAGGCUGCUGACGGCUUCGUAAACACGUUCACUCCAGUUAUAAACUUACUUAUUUCUUGUGCCAAGACUUCAAUGUGCUUCAGUGCAUGAAGGAAAUUUACAACCAACUCCAGGAAUAUAUAUAUAUGUGUGUAUAUAUAUUCCAGCUCUCCAUUUCAGUUAAAAAACCAGCAGCAAUUAUAUUUUAGAUUCGUAACAGAUAUUUAUAACUUAGCUAUAAACAAAUGCUGAGCUAAAGCUUUGCAGAAAGCUCUCAGGAAAGCUAAUUAUUAUAAGAUUUAUAGGAAUAUUAACAGUGUUCUUCCAGUACCACAGUUAUACUAUGAUAUAUAAUCAUAGUAUAUCUAUAUAUUAUACUAAUGACAAUGAGUAGAUAUAAAUUUUAUCUUUUCUGACAUGGGUUUACUCUUUAAGUGGGAAAUACAAGAAGACGGUUGUUAUAACUCAGUAUAGUGAUUUUUUUUUUUUUUUACUAUUUUAGUCAUAGUUUAAGAUCAGGUAAAUGUAGCUAUCUCCAUAUAAAGGGAAAGGACUCUGGGGCAGAUUAGUAACUUGUUUUUUGAAUGGAUAUAACUUUGGUUGCUGUCUGUUCAAAGCAUACAAUCUAUGAAGUUGUGUUUAUGGGGAAAAGGAGGAAAGGGUUUAAAUCCAGAUAAGAAGUUUGAAUUCCUCUGCAGUGUUAAUUGGGUUUCUUGAUCAAAAUUUAUUCUGAUUCAGAUUGUCACUUGGUUGCUCUAAUUCCACCAAGUCUUUGUAAAUGCAAUGGAAGAAGAAUCUGGACCACUACUGAAAAAGCUUUGCCUUGUGAUCUCUGUGUGAACUAUGCUGGGAAUGAGUUUUGGCCUGCAUGACUGAGCUGACAUCCAGGCCUUGUCUCGUUAAUGGUUUUUCUUAAUACACACAGCCACGUUAACAACCUGGUGUUUCCAGGAAGCAGUGAUUCAGCAAAGCCAUUCUCCUAUUUAAUUUAAAUCCCAGUGAAAGGGGACUACUCUAUAUGUAUUUUAAAUGUCAGAAGGCAGUUUGAUCUACCAGAACCUGAUGGAGCUUUUUGAAGAACUUUUCAGAAUCCUGCUAUAAGGAAUGCUUUAAUGAAAUAGCCUCCAAGGGCUAAGAAGCCUCACCUUAGGGUUCCUGAACCAGGACAGAGGGAAUCAAACUGCCCAGCAGGACCCCAGCAGCAUCCCUGAUGUGGGACAGGCUGCUCUGAGCCAGCUCUUGGAGAAGGAUGUGAAGCCAAAAGCCAUGGGAGCUGCUGAGUGCCUGCAGUCACAUUCCCAUCCGUGUGCUUCACCCACGCCUGAGAAUUCAGCUUCACAGCUCCGUUGUGAGGUAGGAAAUUACUGCCUCCCUUGCAGAAGUGGGGUGUAAGGAGAUGACUUUGUUCUCCUGGGGACCCACAGGAAGUCUGUGGUAAAGCUGAGGAAGAAUUUAAUCUCCCACUCUCUCCUCUGUGUCUACGGGCUUUUGACACCACCUUCAUUUCUGCAAGCUGUGAGCAGCCUGGACAAUAGGCAGUCACAAAGUGGUUUCUCUCCCCUGUCCUGCCUGUCUGAACUUUACAGGCUGGCUCAAACUGCACAGCUUUGCUGCCCAGUAGCGAGAUCAUCUUACCUACAGCAGUCUACAAGACAGACAAAGCUCAGCUGCAAAGCUCAGAAUUAAAUCUUCUGUACAGACUGGAGCCCACUUGUAUUUGCUUGCUUUCCUCCUUUCACGAAGCAGGAAAUACAAUAAAAACAACAAACACAAAAGAAAAGUCAAUGAACAAAAACUUCUACUAUUAAUUACAAACAUUAGUGCAAACCACACAGCAGACUAUUUGUAGUAAGGUCAGUAUUUUCUGUAAGGAGGUUGUACAACUGAGGCUUUAAACACAGGUGAAGUCACAUUCUUUGCCAAAUAAGUAGUCAGCUUUGAAGGUCACUAACACAGGAAACCUGGAUUCUGCUGCUACACAUAAUAUUUUAUCUUACCUAUUUGUGUGUAUGCUAUCAGACUCGAAUUGAAAAUAUAUUUAGUCCUGUACCUUUUAAAAAUAUAUUUAUUAAAAGGUGGUAAAGACCAAAUUCCAAAGCUGAAUUACAGGUUUGGCUAAGAGACUAGCAUCGUUUUAACUGCCUAGAAGAGCUUUUUCAAAGACUAUUAUAAAAAAUUUAAAUGAGCUGUUUGUCUAUGGCAAAAAGCCAACACUUAAAUCCGUGUUUGUCAUUCAAAUUCAUGGCCCUGCUGCCCAAGGUUCUCACUGUGACAUCAGAUACUUAACACUGCUGUAAACUAGCUCACGUUUUUUACAUAUUCAGAAGUAGAUGUAGAUCUUAGGAUUUAUCUCACAUCACUUCAAAGCCAGGACCUUUGUACCUAAUUAAGAGUCAAAGCUUGAAAGUUGCAGCCAGGCAAGAAUCCCGCAGGAAUCCUGAUCUCCCUGCUCAACACGUGUUUAUGUUUGGCAGUAGUCAUCUGGGAGAAAGUGGAAAAAAGACUGGUUUGAAAAAAAAAAAAAAA